rnacentral:lncRNA from 1 species
ACUAACAAAAAAUCUGGGUUAAAGAGAUGAUCAUAGUCUACUAUCUUUUCAAAGGCCAGUACACUCAGGAGGUGUCCUGGGAGAUUUCUCCUUGAAGAAUCAGCCUCAACAGGACUGGAAUGUGGAUUUGCCUGGUCCAGGAAUGGAAUGAAAACAGACAAACUUGAAAGCCACAA